AGCCUUUUCCAAUAAUGAACAGUUCAGCUUUGUGAUUCUCCUUAUAAACAUCUUAAUGUAAAUGCAUUUGUUGGUAUUUCAGUUGCAUCUAUUUAAUCCGCGAUAAAAUACGCGAACGCGAUCUCUUCCAUUGCUGACGUUUGCAGUCAACAACACUGCGAGAUUCAUGAAGCGUCCGGCUUGCCUCCACUUUUUUCACUCCUCCCCUCACUGCAGCCGGCUACUCUCGCCUAUAUUUCAGGCGAGGCAAGCUGCAUCUCAAACAAGCCUACUGCUUCUGUUAACAAAUUGUAGCAGGAUUAGGUGAGCUGUGAUUGACAGCUGAUAUAACCUAUCAGGAAGGGGCAGUCCCUUUUUAAGUGCUGAUUGGCUGCUCCUUGGAAUACGUCAUGUCCUGUGUUUCCCCAGGGUGUUUGUAACGAUAGCGACAGUGUGUCGUUUGUCCAGCGUGCUGGUGCCUUUCUACGUGUAGUGGUACAUGACUGUGUAACCUCAGUUGGCUGCUGGUUGAUCUGCUGUGGGUUAAACUACGCCGUAAAACUGUAAUUUGUCUGGGGUGAUACCACUAUUCGGGUUUUCCCUUUUGUUCUACGUCCUGUUCCUCGUGAGUGUUUGAUUCUUGUGCUGCUGAGUAGCAUCGCUGUAACAUCGACUUUAUCCUCCCCGCUGUAUGCUGGACUUUACACUGUCUGGUUCCUAAGUUUCAGGGUUGAAUUUUAAGAUCCGAGUGAAGGAGUGUCCGGUGCAUUUGGAGUUGACAAAUGGACUGUGGCGUUGGCGCAGUGUAGCUUCCCUUGCCGUUUACCCCUUUUGUUUCUUUUCUUUAUUUGUAUAUCAUUUUUGUCUGAAUAUUUGUAUAUUGUUUAUACUUUUAGGAGCUGAGGUUCCCACGGGUGGAUGGAUCUUGUGGUGGUGGUGGUAACGUUUCAACGUUUACCGUGUUACACAUUUUUGGAAGUGUAUAAGUGUGUGCUUUGAGUUCACCGUGUGGUGUGAAAUUGUGCUUGUGGAUAACUUGCGCCAGUGAUCACUCCGGUGGGUAGCCUCAGCCCUGUAGGUUGGUACUGUGUUUAUUUGUUUGUGUAUUUGAUUUGUUGCCGGUCAUAGAGACAGAGCGCCGAUAUGCAGAUUUGAAA